UCCUCAGGCAAGUCGAACGGGAAUUACUUUAUUGAACCUUCGGGGGAUUUAAUUUAAUUCUAGGGGCGGACGGGUGACCAACGCGGGGGUAACCUGCCUUAUACAGGGGGAUAACAGUCAAAAAGGGCUGCUAAUACCGCAUAAGCGCACAGAGCUGCAUGGCUCAGUGUGAAAAACUCCGGGGGUAUAAGAUGGACCCGCGUUGGAUUAGCUGGUGGGGGGGGUAACGGCCCACCAAGGCGACAAUCCAUAGCCGGCCUGAGAGGGUGAACGGCCACAUUGGGACUGAGACACGGCCCAAACUCCUACGGGAGGCAGCAGGGGGGAAUAUUGCACAAGGGGGGAAACCCUGAUGCACCGACCCCGCGUGAAGGAAGAAGUAUCUCGGUAUGUAAACUUCUAUCAGCAGGAAAAAAAAUGACGGUACCUGACUAAAAAGCCCCGGCUAACUACGUG
rnacentral:rRNA from 1 species